GAUGAAAGAAUUCGGAGGAACUCUUGCUGUGAUAUGUUGCCGUAAAAGAUUCAUAUCACAGCAGUAGUUACCUGGUAUUCUUUCGCC
rfam:Apis mellifera strain DH4 linkage group 15, whole genome shotgun sequence.